CAGGAUGAACGCUAGCUACAGGCUUAACACAUGCAAGUCGAGGGGCAGCAUGGUCUUAGCUUGCUAAGGCCGAUGGCGACCGGCGCACGGGUGAGUAACACGUAUCCAACCUGCCGUCUACUCUUGGAUAGCCUUCUGAAAGGAAGAUUAAUACAAGAUGGCAUCAUGAGUCCGCAUGUUCACAUGAUUAAAGGUAUUCCGGUAGACGAUGGGGAUGCGUUCCAUUAGAUAGUAGGCGGGGUAACGGCCCACCUAGUCUUCGAUGGAUAGGGGUUCUGAGAGGAAGGUCCCCCACAUUGGAACUGAGACACGGUCCAAACUCCUACGGGAGGCAGCAGUGAGGAAUAUUGGUCAAUGGGCGAGAGCCUGAACCAGCCAAGUAGCGUGAAGGAUGACUGCCCUAUGGGUUGUAAACUUCUUUUAUAAAGGAAUAAAGUCGGGUAUGGAUACCCGUUUGCAUGUACUUUAUGAAUAAGGAUCGGCUAACUCCGUGCCAGCAGCCGCGGUAAUACGGAGGAUCCGAGCGUUAUCCGGAUUUAUUGGGUUUAAAGGGAGCGUAGAUGGAUGUUUAAGUCAGUUGUGAAAGUUUGCGGCUCAACCGUAAAAUUGCAGUUGAUACUGGAUAUCUUGAGUGCAGUUGAGGCAGGCGGAAUUCGUGGUGUAGCGGUGAAAUGCUUAGAUAUCACGAAGAACUCCGAUUGCGAAGGCAGCCUGCUAAGCUGCAACUGACAUUGAGGCUCGAAAGUGUGGGUAUCAAACAGGAUUAGAUACCCUGGUAGUCCACACGGUAAACGAUGAAUACUCGCUGUUUGCGAUAUACAGCAAGCGGCCAAGCGAAAGCGUUAAGUAUUCCACCUGGGGAGUACGCCGGCAACGGUGAAACUCAAAGGAAUUGACGGAAG
rnacentral:rRNA from 1 species